rnacentral:rRNA from 1 species
UACAGAGGUCCCAAGCGUUGUUCGGAUUCACUGGGCGUAAAGGGUAGGUAGGUGGUCUCAUUUGUCUAGGGUGAAAGCCUUGAGCUUAACUCAAGAAGUGCCCUAGAAACGGUGAGACUGGAGUCUUGGAGAGGGUCGUGGAAUUCCCGGUGUAGUGGUGAAAUGCGUAGAGAUCAGGCGGAACACCCGUGGCGAAGGCGGCCAGCUGGGCCGUCCCUGACGCUGAGGCGCGAAGGCGUGGGGAGCGAACGGG